rnacentral:tRNA from 1 species
AGGGGUGUUGCUCAGUGGUACGGUGCUUGCCUAGCAUGUAUGAGGCCCUGAGUUCAAUCCCCAGAACUCCUC